GUGAUAGGAAAUUAAUGUUGAAAUAAAGUAACGCCUCAUAUAUUCAUUUAUUAACGCGGUACCAAAAAAAAUCAUUAUCGUGGAUCGUUAGUGAUUUGAUCGAUAAUAAAUUAACAUACUUUACAACUAAACUUAAGGUCUCUUUGUUUAUGACUAGUGUUUGUAAGUGUUUCAUGUUUAAGAAGCUGUCAUAUGCUGUCUUAGACUUUGAACCCAAAGCCCAUCCAAUAAACUCCUUUAAAAGCUUGAAAUAAGCAAAAAAGUCAGAUUUGACAGUCUGAAGGUCUCUUAAUACCUUUAGCAAACGUUCACCAUGCCAGCCACGAAGAACAGCAGUGUGAAAAGCUGUGUGGAUGUGUUUUUCCUCAAGACCAAAGCUAGACUGGAGGUUUGUCCAAAGAUUCUGCAGAAUCCUGAAGAUCCUUUUCCCAUCCUGGAACAACCAAAGUGUCCGAAUGUUCAUGACGCUUCUUGGAGUCACGCUUUCAGUUCAGCUUGUGAUUUAUCAAGUGGGUCUUAUUCCGAG